rnacentral:rRNA from 1 species
GACGAACGCUGGCGGCGUGCCUAAUACAUGCAAGUCGAGCGAGUCUGCCUUGAAGAUCGGAGUGCUUGCACUCUGUGAAACAAGAUACAGGCUAGCGGCGGACGGGUGAGUAACACGUGGGUAACCUGCCCAAGAGAUCGGGACAACACCUGGAAACAGAUGCUAAUACCGGAUAACAACAGAUGAUGCCUAUCAACUGUUUAAAAGAUGGUUCUGCUAUCACUCUUGGAUGGACCUGCGGUGCAUUAGCUAGUUGGUAGGGUAACGGCCUACCAAGGCGAUGAUGCAUAGCCGAGUUGAGAGACUGAUCGGCCACAUUGGGACUGAGACACGGCCCAAACUCCUACGGGAGGCAGCAGUAGGGAAUCUUCCACAAUGGACGCAAGUCUGAUGGAGCAACGCCGCGUGAGUGAAGAAGGGUUUCGGCUCGUAAAGCUCUGUUGUUGGUGAAGAAGGACAGGGGUAGUAACUGACCUUUGUUUGACGGUAAUCAAUUAGAAAGUCACGGCUAACUAAGUG